UUCAAUUGUCCAUGCAGAAACGACCAUUUUUUUUCUAUGUCCAGUAGCAUCGUAUAUUCUUAAAAAAUUUCUCGCAUAAUGCCUGGACAUCGGUGGACAUGCAACAUUACACAGUGUGACACGUUUACAAAUGGAAAUCAACACUCAGACUAGUCAUUAAGUAGGACAAUAAAUGAACAAAAGACAUACCCGGGACACAGACAUACAAACAAAAAGUAAAAUCACAAAAAUACUGAACUUAGAGGAAAAUCAAUUUGGAAAGUCCAUAAUCACAUGGCAAAAUCAAAUAACAAAACGUAUCAAAAACGAAUGAACAAGAACUGUCAUAUUCCUGACUUGGUACAGGCAAACAAUAGACCAUCAACUCUGAAAACCAAAAGUUAAAUAGAAACUUCGAUUAUGAAAAACACGCAGGGGCGACAUUAGAGAGUGAAGAGAACUUGCUUCUUGCAAGACAAUUUCCGUGAAAACAAUUUGAUAUGAAGACAAUCUUUUGUGUUUGUUUUUGUUUUAAAAAAAAAUUAAAACAUGAGGCAUUUGCCUCCUUUGCCUCAAUGUAGUUACGGCCCUGGUAGCAAAGACUAUUUGUAACAACUAUAAUGAUAGUUUAAUGUGUGC
rnacentral:lncRNA from 1 species